rfam:Arabidopsis lyrata subsp. lyrata unplaced genomic scaffold ARALYscaffold_3, whole genome shotgun sequence.
UCCGCUGUAGCACAUUGCUUAAACUUUGAAAUCAAGUUACCCUCUAAUUGGAAUUCCGGGUUCGAAUCCCGGCAGCGGAA